AGUGAACGCUGGCGGUAGGCCUAACACAUGCAAGUCGAACGGCAGCACAGUAAGAGCUUGCUCUUACGGGUGGCGAGUGGCGGACGGGUGAGGCAUACAUCGGAAUCUACUUUUUCGUGGGGGAUAACGUAGGAAAACUUACGCUAAUACCGCAUACGACCUACGGGUGAAAGCAGGGGAUCUUCGGACCUUGCGCGAUUGAAUGAGCCGAUGUCGGAUUAGCUAGUUGGCGGGGUAAAGGCCCACCAAGGCGACGAUCCGUAGCUGGUCUGAGAGGAUGAUCAGCCACACUGGAACUGAGACACGGUCCAGACUCCUACGGGAGGCAGCAGUGGGGAAUAUUGGACAAUGGGCGCAAGCCUGAUCCAGCCAUACCGCGUGGGUGAAGAAGGCCUUCGGGUUGUAAAGCCCUUUUGUUGGGAAAGAAAAGCAGCAGGUUAAUACCCCGCUGUUCUGACGGUACCCAAAGAAUAAGCACCGGCUAACUUCGUG
rnacentral:rRNA from 1 species